rnacentral:lncRNA from 1 species
AAAAAUAUAUACCUCUAAGAUCUUAUUUUUUCCUUUAAAAAGUCACUCUAAUAAAAUAUUGAAAACAUGAAAAGAAAUAGAUUUUCCUACCACAAUUUUUAUCUUGACCAAUUUGGCUCCCACAUAUUUCCGUGUUCAACUGAAUCAAUUUCACACUUACUCACCUCCCUGUCUCUGUGAUGUGGUUUAUUCAUUGGUUUGAUAUUGCCAUAGCAACUCCGCAGCAUGGAAACAUGUUCGCCAAGCAAUGCUGCUCACCUCCCAGUGCACGGUGAAUAGCUGUCUGCUACAUACAGCGCUGGCAACCGUUUCACAACUGCGCUUACUCACGGCGGAAACAUCCUUAUGUUUCAGCAGGGUUGUACCACAGCUUGACCCAAUGGGGCUUUAUAAAAGCAGUUUACUUGCCCUCAGACAGCGUUGGACAAGUCCCAUAAAACACAGAGGCUCUGCCCACACAAAAGCAGAAUGGAGAUCAGUAAUAGCACAGCACCAAACACGUCUCUGAAUGCGGUAAGAGACCAAGACACCUCCUGCCUACCUAACAACAUCACAACUGUUUCAGACUACACUGUGCUUAAGCUCAAAGGUUAAAUGCUGUUGUUUGCCUUAAGCUAAGUGCAAAACACAUCUGUGAGACAGUAUGAGCUUCACAGCAGAAAUUCAAGUCACUGCCAGGUUGCUAUAACACAGGAAGGUUUGUGAUCUGUGAUGUACCAGGAAAACAUCUCUGCAUGGACUAGCAACAAAGGGAUCUAAUUUCUUUCCCCAGCAGAGCUGAAACCAGCAUUUUUGUCCAGGAUUUCUUUAGAUUGUAUCAAGGAAAGGAUGUAGAGCAGAGGCAAGAUAGAGUAUUAACUCUCCUAAAAUAUAUUUUAUCAUCUCUUUGACAAAUAUGGAGCUCUAAAGAGGAGUUAAAAGAAAAAUUAUAUUCUACCUCAUCUUAGAGCCUAUUUCAUCUGAGUACACACUCUAUUUAGUGACCUUUGCUGGAACUCUUACAGCAAGUACGCUGGUAAAGGCAUUUAAGCAAUAUUAAACAUUAGCAACCGGUCUGGUGGCUGCUAUGCCCUUCAUCCUUUCAGUAAAGAAGAAGAUUCUUCACACCCCAAUGCAGUUAUCUGCUUUCAUCUAAAGGACUUCAAGAAGGGGUCAGAUGGGAGCUAUCUGUGCACACAGGUCGUGGACACACAGCCAAGAACGGGGCAUGCACACAGCAAGAUACUCCACACCGUUCCCAUUGGUACAUUAUACACACCCUUCAGAAAAAUAAAACAAGGAAUAGUACAGAAAUAGUACA